AUUGAACGCUGGCGGAAUGCUUUACACAUGCAAGUCGAACGGCAGCACGGGGGCAACCCUGGUGGCGAGUGGCGAACGGGUGAGUAAUACAUCGGAACGUGCCCAGUCGUGGGGGAUAACGUAGCGAAAGUUACGCUAAUACCGCAUACGAUCUACGGAUGAAAGCGGGGGACCGUAAGGCCUCGCGCGAUUGGAGCGGCCGAUGUCAGAUUAGGUAGUUGGUGAGGUAAAGGCUCACCAAGCCGACGAUCUGUAGCUGGUCUGAGAGGACGACCAGCCACACUGGGACUGAGACACGGCCCAGACUCCUACGGGAGGCAGCAGUGUGGAAUUUUGGACAAUGGGCGCAAGCCUGAUCCAGCCAUUCCGCGUGCAGGACGAAGGCCUUCGGGUUGUAAACUGCUUUUGUACGGAACGAAAAGGUUUCUACUAAUACUAGGAGCUCAUGACGGUACUGUAAGAAUAAGCACCGGCUAACUACGUGCCAGCCGCCGCCGUAA
rnacentral:rRNA from 1 species